rnacentral:lncRNA from 1 species
UUCGAUUUUUGGUUUUGCCCGCGGCAGCGCCGCUGGGCUUUACCCGCAGUUUCUAGUUCAUCCGCAUUUCUUUUGCUUCAAUUUGGCCAUGGGGUGUUCGAAAUCAGAUUCUGAGCAGAUAAGAGAAUUUUUACCUUUUUUUGACAGUCGCAGGUGGCUCCGAAGCAACGGCGGGCGGCAGUCGACUCCCUUCUCUGGCGACUGGUUCUUCUUCUUCGGUGAAGGAUUGGCGGCUAGGGUUUGAGUUCAGUGUGAUGUGAGAUAUAUAUAUCUGUCUUCCUUAAAUUUAAGUCAUUCAUCGCGUUUGAUCUCGACCGUCCAAUUGCGUUUAAAGAAGAAAUGAAUCU